CAGGCCUAACACAUGCAAGUCGAACGGUAACAGGAAAAAGCUUGCUUUUAUGCUGACGAGUGGCGCACGGGUGCGUAACGCGUAUACAAUCUGCCUCUUACAGGGAGAUAGCCUUUAGAGAUGAAGAUUAAUACCCUAUAGUAUGUAACUAUCGCAUGAUAAUUACAUUAAAGUUUCGGCGGUAAGAGAUGAGUAUGCGUUCUAUUAGCUAGAUGGUGUGGUAACGGCACACCAUGGCAACGAUAGAUAGGGGCCCUGAGAGGGGGAUCCCCCACACUGGUACUGAGACACGGACCAGACUCCUACGGGAGGCAGCAGUGAGGAAUAUUGGACAAUGGGCGAGAGCCUGAUCCAGCCAUGCCGCGUGCAGGAAGACUGCCCUAUGGGUUGUAAACUGCUUUUAUAUAGGAAGAAACCUUUCCACGUGUGGGAAGCUGACGGUACUAUAAGAAUAAGGAUCGGCUAACUCCGUGCCAGCAGCCGCGGUAAUACGGAGGAUCCAAGCGUUAUCCGGAAUCAUUGGGUUUAAAGGGUCCGUAGGUUGAUAAUUAAGUCAGAGGUGAAAGUUCGCGGCUCAACCGUAAAAUUGCCUUUGAUACUGGUUAUCUUGAAUCAUUGUGAAGUGGUUAGAAUAUGUAGUGUAGCGGUG
rnacentral:rRNA from 1 species